rnacentral:rRNA from 1 species
AUUGAACGCUGGCGGCAGGCCUAACACAUGCAAGUCGAGCGAGCGGCGGACGGGUGAGUAAUGUCUGGGAAACUGCCUGCUGGAGGGGGAUAACUACUGGAAACGGUAGCUAAUACCGCAUACCAUCAGAUGUGCCCAGAUGGGAGUAGCUAGUAGGUGGGGUAAAGGCUCACCUAGGCGACGAUCCCUAGCUGGUCGGAGAGGAUGACCAGCCACACUGGAACUGAGACACGGUACAGACUCCUACGGGGGGCAGCAUUGGGGAAUAUUGCACAAUGGGCACAAGCCUGAUACAGCCAUGCCGCGUGUAUGAAGAAGGCCUUCGGGUUGUAAAGCACUUUCAGCGAGGAGGCGUUACUCGCAGAAGAAGCACCGGCUAACUCCGUGCCAGCAGCCGCGGUAAUUC